UGGGGGAUAUUGCACAAUGGGCGAAAGCCUGAUGCAGCGACGCCGCGUGGGGGAUGAAGGCCUUCGGGUUGUAUACUUCUUUUGCUCUGAACAAGGCAUGCUAAUGGGUGUGUUGAGUGUAGGGGUUGAUUAGCGCCGGCUAACUACGUGCCAGCAGCCGCGGUAAUACGUAGGGCGCGAGCGUUGUCCGGAAUUAUUGGGCGUAAAGGGCUUGUAGGUGGCUGGUUGCGUCUGUCGUGAAAGCUCAUGGCUUAACUGUGGGUUUGCGGUGGGUACGGGCUGGCUUGAGUGCAGUAGGGGAGGCUGGAAUUCCUGGUGUAGCGGUGGAAUGCGCAGAUAUCAGGAGGAAUACCGGUGGCGAAGGCGGGUCUCUGGGCUGUUACUGACACUGAGGAGCGAAAGCAUGGGGAGCGAACAGG
rnacentral:rRNA from 1 species